GGCCUCGUGGCUCAGUUAGCUAGAGCGUUGGCUGUAUUUAAGCCUUCCCGAUGUCGACGUGGGUUCAAAUCCCAGCGAGGCCG
rfam:Schistocephalus solidus strain NST_G2 genome assembly, scaffold: SSLN_scaffold0002360